AUACUUACCUGGCGUAGAGGUUACCGUGAUCCUGAAGGCGGUUCCUCAAGGGCGAGGCUCUUCCAUUGCACUACGGUUGAGCUAACCCUUGCAAAUAUCCCUAAUGUGACUAUCUCGGACGUACAAUUUUUGUUAGUCGGGACUGCAUUCGCACUUUCCCGG
rnacentral:snRNA from 1 species